rnacentral:misc_RNA from 1 species
GAAUCAGCAUGACAAUAGAAGAGAAUUAAAAAAGCUAAAAAUUUCCAAACCCUAACUGCAACAACCACAUAUUAUCUUUGCUCGUAUGGGGAGAGAAAAAGGAACUUUCGUUGACCUUUCAAUCAAAUGUACCAAGCAAUAACAAGAAGGCAUACAUUUGGUUGUGCCUUUAGUGCCUUCAGAUCUCAAUACCUACGAAACCAAACCACUAACCAAAUGACAAGUGGUAAAUCACAUGCCCACAAAAAAGCAAAGAGCAGGGACUUCCAUUAAUAAGGUCUUCUUAU